rnacentral:rRNA from 1 species
GCUAAUACAUGCAAGUCGAGCGGACAGAAGGGAGCUUGCUCCCGGAUGUUAGCGGCGGACGGGUGAGUAACACGUGGGUAACCUGCCUGUAAGACUGGGAUAACUCCGGGAAACCGGAGCUAAUACCGGAUAGUUCCUUGAACCGCAUGGUUCAAGGAUGAAAGACGGUUUCGGCUGUCACUUACAGAUGGACCCGCGGCGCAUUAGCUAGUUGGUGGGGUAAUGGCUCACCAAGGCGACGAUGCGUAGCCGACCUGAGAGGGUGAUCGGCCACACUGGGACUGAGACACGGCCCAGACUCCUACGGGAGGCAGCAGUAGGGAAUCUUCCGCAAUGGACGAAAGUCUGACGGAGCAACGCCGCGUGAGUGAUGAAGGUUUUCGGAUCGUAAAGCUCUGUUGUUAGGGAAGAACAAGUGCGAGAGUAACUGCUCGCACCUUGACGGUACCUAACCAGAAAGCCACGGCUAACUACGUGCCAGCAGCCGCGGUAAUACGUAGGUGGCAAGCGUUGUCCGGAAUUAUUGGGCGUAAAGGGCUCGCAGGCGGUUUCUUAAGUCUGAUGUGAAAGCCCCCGGCUCAACCGGGGAGGGUCAUUGGAAACUGGGAAACUUGAGUGCAGAAGAGGAGAGUGGAAUUCCACGUGUAGCGGUGAAAUGCGUAGAGAUGUGGAGGAACACCAGUGGCGAAGGCGACUCUCUGGUCUGUAACUGACGCUGAGGAGCGAAAGCGUGGGGAGCGAACAGGAUUAGAUACCCUGGUAGUCCACGCCGUAAACGAUGAGUGCUAAGUGUUAGGGGGUUUCCGCCCCUUAGUGCUGCAGCUAACGCAUUAAGCACUCCGCCUGGGGAGUACGGUCGCAAGACUGAAACUCAAAGGAAUUGACGGGGGCCCGCACAAGCGGUGGAGCAUGUGGUUUAAUUCGAAGCAACGCGAAGAACCUUACCAGGUCUUGACAUCCUCUGACAACCCUAGAGAUAGGGCUUUCCCUUCGGGGACAGAGUGACAGGUGGUGCAUGGUUGUCGUCAGCUCGUGUCGUGAGAUGU